rnacentral:rRNA from 1 species
UCCGUAGGUGAACCUGCGGAAGGAUCAUUACAAAUCAUAAUAGGCCGCAAGGCCGAUAUGUUCGGUGCAGCAAUGCAUCGUUUCGCGCUUGUAUGUUUGACAGAGUAAUGUUGGAUACACACAUAAAGAGACAACUUUUAACAAUGGAUCUCUUGGCUCUUGCAACGAUGAAGAACGCAGUAAAGUGCGAUAUAUAGUGCGAUUUGCAUGAAUCUGUGAGUCAUCUAGUCUUUGAACGCAACUUGCGCCUCUUUGAGGCAUGUCUGUUUGAGUACCGCAUACCAAAUGCAGCAAUGCAACUUGGUCAUAUGAUGAGUAAUUAUUAUUUGACUAAAACGUAGCCAGAUAAGGAGUAUUGUCGUUUCCUUGAUGAGUUAGGACGCAAGUCUUUCAUCAAUAGGAUUACUUCACCUCCCAUCAAACUUAUUCUAGUAAAUUGGUCUCAAAUCAGGCAAGACUACCCGCUGAACUUAA